rnacentral:rRNA from 1 species
AACGAACGCUGGCGGCGUGCCUAACACAUGCAAGUCGAACGAGAAAGGGGCUUCGGCUCCGAGUAAAGUGGCGCACGGGUGAGUAACACGUGGGUAACCUGCCUCUAAGAUUGGGAUAACUCGUCGAAAGAUGAGCUAAUACCGGAUAAGACCACAGUUCCCGCGGGAACAGGGGUCAAAGGUAGCCUCUGCUUGCACGCUAUCACUUAGAGAUGGGCCUGCGCACCAUUAGCUAGUUGGUAGGGUAACGGCCUACCAAGGCAAAGAUGGUUAGCUGGUCUGAGAGGAUGAUCAGCCACACUGGAACUGAGACACGGUCCAGACUCCUACGGGAGGCAGCAGUGGGGAAUAUUGCGCAAUGGGCGAAAGCUUGACGCAGCAACGCCGCGUGAGUGAUGAAGGCCUUCGGGUCGUAAAGCUCUGUCGGGAGGAACGAAUGCUCCCAAGGUUAACAGCCUCGGGAGGUGACGGUACCUUCAAAGGAAGCACCGGCUAACUCUGUGCCAGCCGCCGCGGUAAGAC